GGCACUUCGUGAUGUCAUCAACGCAUGCUGGGAGAGGAAACAAAAUCCUGGGCUCGGGGCUUGGCAGCGACAGCGAGAAAAAGCCCCUUCGCUUUGCCAAAGGGCUGAUUGCAUGGAGUAUGCUUAUCAACUUUGACCACACACUACUACCAUUUCUCUUUUAAGAAAAAGGACUCGGCGGAAAGAAGGUGGAAGGAAUGAGGAGACACAGACUCGAGAUAAUCCAUCAAGUCAGCUCCUGGAACAUUAAUAAUGAAGACCUUUGAACCUGGCAAAUCUUCUGUAUUUCUCUCCCUUAACUGCGACUUACAAAUUGUCCCAGGGCUGCUGCCUGAUCUGAUGGCCUCUUUUUAAUUUUUGCCCCCGCGUUAUUAAAAAUGCCCCCAUCACAAUCCCAGAAGCUGACAGCGAAAGCAACAGUUAAGGAAGCCCGAAGCUGGCAGCCUGUCAGCUCAGGAACUCCCUGCAGCCUGCAAACACAACUCCACCCACUCGCGUUUUCGGGAGAGGAGCCUGGUGCCAAGGCAGCGCUGGCAAAGGUGGUGGCUGGGGAAGUGGGGAUUCUGCCUGCUUUGGUUUCCGAGGCUGUCUGUGAACAACCGGGUGCUUUUUCCCCCUUUGAGUCAAGCCUCCUUUUG